ensembl:misc_RNA
CAGCGGCAACCCCAGGGACCAGUGCGCACUACCGAGCCGCCCUCCGGCAGUCACCCAGCGACCGCGGACAACUGAAUAAACAUGCCAAAGCGCUGCGACCGGUCAGUGGCGGGGGCAGCCA